UUUCGCAAUGCCCGAAAGGGUGACGAAGCGACGCCGCGUGUGGGAAGAAGGCCUUCGGGUUGUAAACCACUGUCGGGAAUUAGGAAAUGCAGGAAUGUUAAUAGCAUUCUUGCUUGACCAAGUCCGGAGGAAGCCACGGCUAACUCUGUGCCAGCAGCCGCGGUAAUACAGAGGCGGCAAGCGUUGUUCGGAAUUAUUGGGCGUAAAGAGCACGUAGGCGGCCUUGCAAGUCAGUUGUGAAAUCCUUCCGCUCAACGGAAGAACUGCAUCUGAUACUACAGGGCUAGAGUGCGGAAGGGGAGAGUGGAACUUCUGGUGGAGCGGUGAAAUGCGUAGAUAUCAGAAGGAACACCGGCGGCGAAGGCGACUCUCUAGUCCGUAACUGACGCUGAGUGUGCGAAAGCUAGGGGAGCAAACGGGAUUAGAUACCCCGGUAGUCCUAGCCGUAAACGAUGGGCACUAAGUAGAGGGGUUUUA
rnacentral:rRNA from 1 species